GAGUGAUGAAGGCCUUCGGGUUGUACAGCUCUGUCUUUUGGGACGAUAAUGUCGGUACCAACGGAGGAAGCCACGGCUAACUACGUGCCAGCAGCCGCGGUAAUACGUAGGUGGCAAGCGUUGUCCGGAAUUACUGGGCGUAAAGAAUGCGUAGGUGGAUAUGCAAGUCAGAUGUGAAAUACCCGGGCUCAACUUGGGUGCUGCAUUUGAAACUAUAUAUCUAGACUGCAGAAGAGGAAAGCGGAAUUCCUAGCGUAGCGGUCAAAUGCGUAGAGAUUAGGAAGAACACCAGUGGCGAAGGCGGCGUUCUGGACUG
rnacentral:rRNA from 1 species